UUCCCACGUUUUUUUUUUUUUUUUUUUUCUUUUUUUUCUUUUUUUUCUUUUUCGGAGCUGGGGACCGCUCCGCUAGGCAAGCGCUCUACCACUGAGCUAAAUCCCCAACCCCCUUUCCCACGUUUAUAAGCUCUAUCAGACCCACACAUUCUCUCUCAUACCUUUACUAAACACAAUAUUUCAUAGGAGCGGAUUUUCUCAAUACUUGUUAACAUAUUGAGAAAAUAUGUUAUUUUGCUGUAUUUACUGUUAAUGGACAGAUCAGAUAACAGUUGUGUUUUUACGGAUUGAAAACCAUAUAAAAUGAUCCUAAUUAAUUAAAGUUUAAUUCUUGUCUCAUACUACUAUUGGAUGGAUAAAUAAUGAACCACCUGAGAAAGCAGGAGGCAGAAAGAGGCGGCAUUGUGUCAUGUGUAACGGCCCAGGUUCUGAUUUCCUGUUCAGCAGCAGUGGGGGUGUGGCCUGGAACGUCCCAUCCUGCCCCUCUGUUUGACCUGCUCUGUCUCACCUGCUGCACGGAUUUAGUCAUGCACCUACCUUACCUGUAAAUGACGG
rnacentral:lncRNA from 1 species